rnacentral:tRNA from 2 species
GGGGUAUGGCGGAAUUGGUAGACGCUACGGACUUAAAAUCCGUUGGCUUUAUUGACCGUGAGGGUUCAAGUCCCUCUACCCCCAAAACU